rnacentral:rRNA from 1 species
AGAGUUUGAUCCUGGCUCAGAAUCAACGCUGGCGGCGUGCCUAACACAUGCAAGUCGAACGAGAAAGUGGAGCAAUCCAUGAGUAAAGUGGCGCACGGGUGAGUAACACGUGACUAACCUACCCUUGAGUGGGGGAUAACUUCAGGAAACCGAGGCUAAUACCGCAUAACACCUACGGGUCAAAGGAGCAAUUCGCUCGAGGAGGGGGUCGCGGCCGAUUAGUUAGUUGGCAGGGUAAUGGCCUACCAAGACGAUGAUCGGUAUCCGGCCUGAGAGGGCGCACGGACACACUGGAACUGAAGCACGGUCCAGACUCCUACGGGAGGCAGCAGUGGGGAAUUUUGCGCAAUGGGGGAAACCCUGACGCAGCAACGCCGCGUGGAGGAUGAAGUCCUUCGGGACGUAAACUCCUUUCGACCGGGACGAUUAUGACGGUACCGGAAGAAGAAGCCCCGGCUAACUUCGUGCCAGCAGCCGCGGUAAUACGAGGGGGGCGAGCGUUGUUCGGAAUUAUUGGGCGUAAAGGGUGCGUAGGCGGUUUGGUAAGUCUGAUGUGAAAUCUAUGGGCUCAACUCAUAGUCUGCAUUAGAAACUGCCGGGCUUGAGUGUGGGAGAGGUGAGUGGAAUUCCUGGUGUAGCGGUGAAAUGCGUAGAUAUCAGGAGGAACACCUGUGGCGAAAGCGGCUCACUGGACCACAACUGACGCUGAUGCACGAAAGCUAGGGGAGCAAACAGGAUUAGAUACCCCCGUAGUCC